rnacentral:snRNA from 1 species
UGCCACACUUCUGAGCUCA